AUGAACGCUGGCGGCGCGCCUAACACAUGCAAGUCGAACGGCACCCCUCCUCGGAGGGAAGCGAGUGGCGAACGGCUGAGUAACACGUGGAGAACCUGCCCCCUCCCCCGGGAUAGCCGCCCGAAAGGACGGGUAAUACCGGAUACCCCGGGGUGCCGCAUGGCACCCCGGCUAAAGCCCCGACGGGAGGGGAUGGCUCCGCGGCCCAUCAGGUAGACGGCGGGGUGACGGCCCACCGUGCCGACAACGGGUAGCCGGGUUGAGAGACCGACCGGCCAGAUUGGGACUGAGACACGGCCCAGACUCCUACGGGAGGCAGCAGUGGGGAAUCUUGCGCAAUGGGGGGAACCCUGACGCAGCGACGCCGCGUGCGGGACGGAGGCCUUCGGGUCGUAAACCGCUUUCAGCAGGGAAGAGUCAAGACUGUACCUGCAGAAGAAGCCCCGGCUAACUACGUG
rnacentral:rRNA from 1 species